rnacentral:rRNA from 1 species
AGAAUCAACGCUGGCGGCGUGCCUAACACAUGCAAGUCGAACGAGAAAGUGGAGCAAUCCAUGAGUAAAGUGGCGCACGGGUGAGUAACACGUGACUAACCUACCCUUGAGUGGGGGAUAACCUCGGGAAACCGGGCUAAUACCGCAUAAUAUCGAGAGAUCAAAGGAGCAAUUCGCUUAAGGAGGGGUCGCGGCUGAUUAGCUAGUUGGUAGGGUAAUGGCCUACCAAGGCUAUGAUCAGUA